UACCAGGUGAGGGUUCUACCUGCGCAAGAGGUGAGCAGUGCUGGGCUGCCUCAGGGGCGGGCAGCGGCGUCCAGAUCCAGAAGAGGCGGGCAUCGCCACUCGGAGCCAGGCUCAGAGGCUGGGAAGGCGCCCUGCAGCUAAGAUCCCACGUGUUAGCAGCCGCGGUACCCCAAGUCACACCCCGUGAACAAGGCCACCCUCACGGAGGGCCAGGCCCCUGCAGCAGAGCAAACCGCAGCUCCGAAGACACCCUUUUCUUGCUUGGCCAUGCUCUGGCCUGGGUGGGUCUGAGGACUAAGUGGUUGGCCUUCUUCGAUCAAAUGAUUUGGCCUUUUUCCAAUGAUGAUAUUGGUGGACAUCAGGAGACCAUGAGGGACUCUUGAGAGAAACCCCUAACAGACUUAGAGGUACUAAGAUUUCCGCUGUGCAGCACUCCCCUCUGCAUCCUAGAAACUAGUCAGAUUUCUGAGAAUAAAGUCUGGCAAGAGACAUUGGGUAGCUGUAAUACACGCAGUGAGAAGAUGCACAGAACCUAAGAACACCUACUCCAAAACUUCAGUACAGAAAUAGGUUAAUCUGAGGAGAUGAGCAUGUCAGAGAACUAUCUGUCGAAGACGAAGAAUCUGCCCCUCCCUGAGAAGAUGACCAGCUCCAGAACUCUAGAGACAUGAAGUUUGAGUUUUCGUGCCCGCAGUCUGCUUCCACAGCUGGUUGGUGUACACUAUUAUGUAUUAUGGGAGUCAAACACAAAUUCUGUGGAGAAUCUUCAACAGAAAGGCUUUCAAGAGUCUGAAGAGAUGACUCAGAAACUAAGAGCACCCCUGGCUCUUGUAAGUUCAGUCCCCAGCACCCACCGGGUGGAGAGCCAGUGACCUCCUUCACCUCCAGCAGUACCUGGCAGGCACGUGCUGCACAAACAUCUUUACAGGCAAAACACUUAAUACAUGAAAUAAAAAUCUCUAAAACGAGAGAAAGAGAAAAGACUUCAGGAUUUACCACAGUGGGUUUCCUAGUGGCUAAUUUUGGAAGAAAUGGCCAGUCAGUAGGUGGAAGUUGAGUUUAUAUUAUAAAUCUUCAAGAAGUUCACACAGAUAUUGAAACAGAUUGCUGUCAAAAAUCGGGAGAAGUGAUUUGCCAUUUUUCCAAAAACCACAAAUCACGGUGACUCUUUAAAGUUUUUCACAAACAUUGAAAGUGGGGGGAAAAAAAAUUAUCUUUGAAAUCCCAAGACAAAUGGCCAGACAGGACUCCUCUGUGAAGUUGUGCAAGGAGCCUCAGGGGAAAAAGGUCUCUUGUGACUGAAGAAAGAGGGAGAGAAAAGGAAUAGGGAGGGUUGUCAUCCCGUACACCACUGUCAGAGAAUCGUCAAGUCAAGCUUAUACCUGAUAGAACAGAACUAGCACCUCCAGCGUUCUCUGCUGAGACAACUUGCCAAAAUAUCCAGUUCAAAGACUCUUUAGUCUCCUUUGACUGUAACACUAACGACAUUUUUAGAUGGAAGUCACCAGUAGUCACUUGGAGUCUUCAGAGAGACCACACAGAGAAAUCCCGUGAGUGGUGAUUCGGAGGGGAUGCUUAUCACCAACCCAGAUGGUCAUCUCUUCAAGAAAAUCCCCACUUCAGAGCAACUAUACACUCGCGAUCGGUGUGGUGUGGACUCACUUCAUUCAGAACUAAUGCGUCAUCAGAGACACCACCUGAAAGAAAAGGCCUGCCUGUGUGAGCAUUGUGGG